rnacentral:rRNA from 1 species
AUUGAACGCUGGCGGCAGGCCUAACACAUGCAAGUCGAACGAGUGGCGGACGGGUGAGUAAUGUCUGGGAAACUGCCUGAUGGAGGGGGCUAACUACUGGAAACGGUAGCUAAUACCGCAUACCAUCGGUUGGGCCCAGAGGGGAUUAGCUAGUAGGUGGGGUAACGGCUAACCUAGGCGACGAGACCUAGCUGGUCUGAGAGGCUGACCGGCCACACUGGAACUGAGACACGGUCCAGACUCCUACGGGAGGCAGCAGUGGGGAAUAUUGGACAAUGGGCGAAAGCCUGAUGCAGCCAUGCCGCGUGUAUGAAGAAGGCCUUCGGGUUGUAAAAUACUUUCAUCGGAGAGGCGGUACCCGCAGAAGAAGCAACGGCUAACUCCGUGCCAGCAGCCGCGGUAAUUC